GACGAACGCUGGCGGCGUGCUUAACACAUGCAAGUCGAACGGAAAGGCCCUGCUUUUGUGGGGUGCUCGAGUGGCGAACGGGGGAGUAACACGUGAGUAACCUGCCCUUGACUUUGGGAUAACUUCAGGAAACUGGGGCUAAUACCGGAUAGGAGCUCCUGCUGCAUGGUGGGGGUUGGAAAGUUGCGGCGGUUGGGGAUGGACUCGCGGCUUAUCAGCUUGUUGGUGGGGUAGUGGCUUACCCAGGCUGUGACGGGUCGCCGGCCUGAGAGGGUGACCGGCCUCAUUGGGACUGAGAUAAGGACCAGAGUCGUAUGGGAGGCAGCAGGGGGGAAUAUUGCCCAAUGGGCGGAAGCCUGUGGAAGCAACGCCGCGUGCGGGAUGCCGGCCUUCGGGGUGUAAAACGCUUUCGCCUGUGACGAAGCGUGAGUGACGGUAAUGGGUAAAGAAGCACCGGCUAACUACGUG
rnacentral:rRNA from 1 species